CAGGCCUAACACAUGCAAGUCGAGCGGAAACGAGUUAUCUGAACCUUCGGGGAACGAUAACGGCGUCGAGCGGCGGACGGGUGAGUAAUGCCUAGGAAAUUGCCCUGAUGUGGGGGAUAACCAUUGGAAACGAUGGCUAAUACCGCAUAAUGCCUACGGGCCAAAGAGGGGGACCUUCGGGCCUCUCGCGUCAGGAUAUGCCUAGGUGGGAUUAGCUAGUUGGUGAGGUAAGGGCUCACCAAGGCGACGAUCCCUAGCUGGUCUGAGAGGAUGAUCAGCCACACUGGAACUGAGACACGGUCCAGACUCCUACGGGAGGCAGCAGUGGGGAAUAUUGCACAAUGGGCGCAAGCCUGAUGCAGCCAUGCCGCGUGUGUGAAGAAGGCCUUCGGGUUGUAAAGCACUUUCAGUCGUGAGGAAGGUAGUGUAGUUAAUAGCUGCAUUAUUUGACGUUAGCGACAGAAGAAGCACCGGCUAACUCCGUGCCAGCAGCCGCGGUAAUACGGAGGGUGCGAGCGUUAAUCGGAAUUACUGGGCGUAAAGCGCAUGCAGGUGGUUUGUUAAGUCAGAUGUGAAAGCCCGGGGCUCAACCUCGGAAUAGCAUUUGAAACUGGCAGACUAGAGUACUGUAGAGGGGGGUAGAAUUUCAGGUGUAGCGGUGAAAUGCGUAGAGAUCUGAAGGAAUACCGGUGGCGAAGGCGGCCCCCUGGACAGAUACUGACACUCAGAUGCGAAAGCGUGGGGAGCAAACAGGAUUAGAUACCCUGGUAGUCCACGCCGUAAACGAUGUCUACUUGGAGGUUGUGGCCUUGAGCCGUGGCUUUCGGAGCUAACGCGUUAAGUAGACCGCCUGGGGAGUACGGUCGCAAGAUUAAAACUCAAAUGAAUUGACGGGGGCCCGCACAAGCGGUGGAGCAUGUGGUUUAAUUCGAUGCAACGCGAAGAACCUUACCUACUCUUGACAUCCAGAGAACUUUCCAGAGAUGGAUUGGUGCCUUCGGGAACUCUGAGACAGGUGCUGCAUGGCUGUCGUCAGCUCGUGUUGUGAAAUGUUGGGUUAAGUCCCGCAACGAGCGCAACCCUUAUCCUUGUUUGCCAGCGAGUAAUGUCGGGAACUCCAGGGAGACUGCCGGUGAUAAACCGGAGGAAGGUGGGGACGACGUCAAGUCAUCAUGGCCCUUACGAGUAGGGCUACACACGUGCUACAAUGGCGCAUACAGAGGGCAGCAAGCUAGCGAUAGUGAGCGAAUCCCAAAAAGUGCGUCGUAGUCCGGAUUGGAGUCUGCAACUCGACUCCAUGAAGUCGGAAUCGCUAGUAAUCGUGGAUCAGAAUGCCACGGUGAAUACGUUCCCGGGCCUUGUACACACCGCCCGUCACACCAUGGGAGUGGGCUGCAAAAGAAGUAGGUAGUUUAACCUUCGGGAGGACGCUUACCACUUUGUGGUUCAUGACUGGGGUGAAGUCGUAACAAGGUADC
rnacentral:rRNA from 1 species